AAAAAUGUUGAAAAUGUGGAAGUUUUCACUGUGAAAAUAUAUAUUUUUUCCAUAUUUUUAAACUUUAAAAUGGGUUAAUUUGACCUGCAGGACGACAGCAGGGUUAAUGACUCAAACCUGCUGAAAACCAGAGGUCAUUUAUUGGUCAGUUGGAUUCCCAGCAUGCACUCUGUUCUAUUGGACACUUUCUGUUUUCAACCAAUCAUCUAAAGAUGUUUUUUAUCCAGUUGUAGUUUUCUGCCUCCCUGAGCUGCUCUUUGUAAAAAUCUUAUAAUUCCGAUGGUUUUCUGGCCUGCAGGUGAUGAUUUCUGAUCAGAUCUCUGUUUGUAUCCCAUGAAGUUCACACUCCGAAUUUAAAUUUUUUUUCUAAUAAAUGGCUUCUUCUUCUUCUUCUCCUUCUCCUUCUUCUUGGUGUUUUCCUGAUCUGUUGCUCUACCAACUAUUUAUUUGUUGGUUGUCAGGUGCAGUUAAUUAGUCAAGUGUGAAACAUCUCUUUCCCCCCCGGCGCUGAUCUCCAGCUGAGAGCUUCACCCGCUUCCUGUUUGUUUGUUUGUUUGUUUGUUUGUCUUCAGAUGUUUGCAUCUUGUCUCCCUGCUCAUUUGCAUCCUUCAUGAAGGCUGAAAUGAGCCCCAUGUUUUCUGGACUCUCCGCUUGGCGCUGUUCUCCAGGUUCUGCUGCCAGAUCCAGUUAAUUGGAGUCUUUCAGCUCCAGCAGAAACUGUGUCCAGUGAGCAGCACAAAUAAACGAGUCGGUGUGGGAGAGAACAGCUACUCUGAACCUUACGGUAGAAAUCUAGGAGUGAUUUUUGAUCAGGCUGUGUCAGGAGACAACCAUGUCAGCCGGCUAACACUUCCUGUUUGUACCAUCUGUGUAACAUAGCUCAGUUAAAUCCAUGGAGAUGAUUUUACACGCUUUUAUUUUGUGGUAUCUGUUGUUCCAGGUGGCCUUCUAAGUUGGGGGAUGGGAAUGUUAAAAAUUCCUAAGUUAAACACCAGAUUUCUUAAAAUGAGUUUAUUGCACCGGUUACCAUACAUCCCAUCACCUGCUGGGUUUAUGUGAAGAACCCACCUAUGUAAGCUAGGAGAAACAGUUGUGAUUCUGUCGGGCCUUGAAUCCUCUCACAGGCAUGCCAUGGUGUCUUUGAUGCUGUCUUUGUUUUAAUAAACCUUUUAUAUAUAAACAAGACGGUGUCGGCGGAGAAUUUCUUCACCAUCUUCACAUCAUCGCUGCACAAGAAGAUACAACAAUUUCAUCCUGUUUAGAUUACUGUGGGUCAAUCUAUAACUGAGGGACUCUUGAAGUACAUGGGAUAUAUCUGCAUACAUUUUUAUGAAAAGUAAAAAACUAAUGUUUUUAUGUUCAUUAUGAUCAUGUCUUCACAAAUUCCAGAAUUAUUUACUAUGGAAAUGUGGCACCCAUAAAAUAGUGUGACCACAGUUAUGUGGUACAAGUUUAGAAUAAUUACUGUGUUCAUUAUUGUGUCUGGUAUGUACAUGUAUGUCAAUAAUAAUAAAAGCUAAAUCAAUUGUCAUUGUGCUAUUGAAGCUGAAGAAUAACAGGUCUGUGUAGGCAGCGGUGGGGCGGAACCUUUGUUUUGUUCCGGUUGCACCUAGGAAUGGUGCGAGGGAACACGUUCCUCCAGAAACAAUCUGGAAAGAAGCGCGGUGCGCUAAUGUUUCAUUGUUCCUGCUUUAUCCACCUGAUACAGAAACGUUCAGAUUGCAGCAAGCCGGCUUCGCUAACCGUUCCAACCCUGGAGAAGAGCUGCCUCCAAUCAUCUGCGCGAUGACUUCACAGGAGAUGUUCGUGUUUGCAGCCGUCGCAGCAGCUGAAGACAUGAAGGAUUUCUCUGACGCUCCUCGCCAGCUGAAAGGUGAAAUUCUGGAAUCCACUGACAGUUUGAUGAAUCCUUCCUCUGCUGGAAAUACGCUAAAAACUGCAGCUUUCCAGCCCUGAAGCAAAGUGAAAAUCACAGCCACACACGCAGGCACGCACGCGCACACACACACACACACACACACACACACACACACACACACACACACACACACACACACACACACACACACACACACACACACACACACACACACACCUGUUCUGCUUCUAACCAAACACAAAUGAACACAGUUAUCAUCCAGCCUCAGAAAGCCGGCGUUAUUCUGAGCGGCUGCUUGUCGGUCCAAUCCUCCGAGGCGCCGCUGAUCUGGCUGCAGAGACAGAAGAACCUUUCAAAGCCUCCUGAGCAUGAGAUCUGUCCAAACCAAUCGCUUAUCGUUGAGGAAUACUUCCAAAACAGGAUCAGGUUGUCUGUCUCCAUGUGAACGUUGAUGACAAGAUGUACGUCGACGCCGUGAUCCAUCUGUGCUCUGUUUACGACUGACAGCUUCACAAAGGAAAAGUGGGAUUUUAAAUUACAAAAAAAACUGAUUUUGGCUCCACUGUUGGAGAUAAUUAGGGUUUUCUGUGUCCUGGUGCAUUUUCUGCUCCAGAUAUCUUCACCUCUGGAUUAUUAAUAGUUCCAGGGACACAAGAAAUGGAGCUGCUGAAUUCUUUUCUCUGUUAUUUUGCUCCAGUCAAGGUUAAAAACUUUUCUUUGCCUUAAUAAAAGAAUUUGUCUCCUUUGUGGUGAAACUAAGAAGUACCAGCAAAUGAUCGCAUAAAAUUAAACCAGUCUUGUAGGAUCUAGCUUUGAAUUGGCACUUCAAGGAGUCAGACAAAGCCUGUUUCUUCUAAAAAUGGAAACUUAAUUUCCACUUUCUUUCAACUUUGAAUCAUAACAAUUGUCCAACAUUUUAAAAACAGGUUUCCAGAAUUGUUACAAAUCCUGAAACCAGAUAAUUUUGGUUAAGAUUUGGUUCAUUUAUGCAAAAAAAUGACAAAGAUCGAGGUUGAGAUCAGGUUUACGGUGUUUACAUGUGUGAAAAAGUCUUUCUUGUCAUGAAUCCUCAGCUCUUCUCAACUUUCUGGUGACUUUCAGCUGGUUUGGUUCCUCUCACCGUGUUUUCAGUCACAGCAGGGAAGCUCUACAGAAAAGCAGCAAACAGACUCAGUGAAACGCCGGUGAUCAUGGGGAGAUAUUUCCCUCUGGAGCCCAAAUGCAGAGCUAAAACACACUGAAUGCAGUGGAGUUAUGUGACGAUUGUCGUACGUUUGUCUGUGAAUCCGUCUGUCUGUCUCUCUGUCUGUCUGUGUGAAGCAUUACUCAAAAACAGACCAACGGAUUUGGAUGAACUUUUCAGGGAAGGUCAGAAAUGACACAAGGACCACCUCAUUAGAUUUAGACAGUGAUGCAGCUUAUAGUCUCCAUCCUCGGAUUUGUUCAGGAUUUCCUGUUGCGAAAUAGGAGCCGGCAGGGCUUUACUGUAACCAUGACAAGUGAAUGCUACAUCAGUUGCCUACUGAUGAUCACAUGAUUACAUCCUACUACUGACUUAUCUGUCGGAAAUGACACAAGAAACAUCUGAUUAAAUUGUUGGAGUGUUUGAGUUUUCUUUUCCAUCCUGAAUUUUCCUCACGUCAAAAAAACACUUCUUAGAUAAACACUUCCUGUGCCGUGGGAAUGGUGCCAAAAAUAAAAGCCUGUAACGUUAAAAAAAAAAAAAAGGCCUUCAAAAUAAAAGCAUGAGGGGAACGGUUAUUUUAACACUAGCAAAACAAAGCCUUUCGAAAAGUGAUGAAUUGAUCAACAAACCUUUAUAAGAGUAAUUUACACGUAUGUAGGUCACGUGAUUCAGUAUCCGUUAAUAACGUACACGUGCAUAACACAUGUCUGUGUUCAGCACAAGGUCAUUUUGUUUGUGCUGUGAUUUGUGAUCAUCAAUAAUAACAAUAAUAAUCAAAUGCUGCAUUUUAACAAAAAUAUGCUGCAUUUCUAUCUAAAUCUCACAUCACUUUCUUAACAUUUGACUUUCAACAUGAACCAUCACAUUAAUUUUAAUAAACCAAACAGGCAACAGUACUUUAAGUUGUGUGAAGUGAUUCAGGGAAGCUUUUUCCCCAUUUUAGCAUUAUUUGUGAAGGAAAAGUGACUCUUUCCCUUUUCUAAGGUCAUAAUGGCCUUUAGACAGUCAGACACUGCAGGACGUUAAAUAUUGUCUAUUCUGAUGUGACUAAGCAGAUGAGUUGUCUCCAUAUUGGUCUGUAAUCUAAAUCUGACCUUCUGCCAACUACAGUAUAAACCCAAAGAUCAGAGAGAAUCCUCAGCUGGUGUUGCUUGCAUGUCCUACUGCUCUGUCGGUGUCACUUCUCCUGGUAUCAGUAAACCUUCCUCUCAGCCUAAAUCAUCUGAGUCUCCAGUGUGUCUCUCUGAAUCUGCCUCCUCAUCCUCUCUCAACCUCACUGAACUUCGACAACAAUGAGAUGUUUACAGUACAGUAUAGCAUGUUGAGUCACUUUUAUGUGACGCACCAGUAUGUUUAAGUACAGUUCUAAGUACUGGCUGUCCUACAAUGUGGGUACAUUAUCCAUCAGGUCAUAACAUGUGGAAGCUGUCCAUAGUCGUCAUUUUUAUCAUUGUGUACUUUUGUAUUUCUUGUACUGUUUCUUACAAUUCUUCAUUUAUUUCAAACUGCUAUGAUGUGAAUUUCCCCACUGAGGGACCAAUAAAAUUCCUCAAUGGCAAAUUA